UACGUAGGGGGCUAGCGUUGUCUGGAAUCAUUGGGCGUAAAGAGCGUGUAGGCGGUCCGGUAAGUCCGCUGUGAAAGUCGGGGGCUCAACCCUCGAAUGCCGGUGGAUACUGUCGGGCUAGAGUGCGGAAGAGGCGAGUGGAAUUCCUGGUGUAGCGGUGAAAUGCGCAGAUAUCAGGAGGAACACCAAUUGCGAAGGCAGCUCGCUGGGACGUAACUGACGCUGAGACGCGAAAGCGUGGGGAGCAAACAGG
rnacentral:rRNA from 1 species